rnacentral:lncRNA from 1 species
CACUUGCACUGCGGGUGCUCUCUGGCCCCCACCCCAUCAUCGCGCAACACACCCCCUUCAACAUGCGCGGCCACCCUUUCAUUGCCCUGCGCCCCGAGCGGUCCCACCGCCCGGCAAAACACUGAGCAAGCCGCUGCUCUCACCUUGCUUGACACACUUGAGCCGGAGGGGGUCCUUGCAGUGUUUGAUCACGGCCAGCACGUCCCUGAUGGUGAGCCCCGCCACGGGGGUCUCGUUCACCUCCAGCAGCAGCUCCUCCGACACCAAUUUGCUGCCGCUCUCAUAGGCCACCUUGCCGGGCUUCACCUCCCCCAGCAGAGGAAGCAGUGGUGGUGGCGUCGGCGGCGGCGGCGGCGGCAGCCGGAGCGAGCAGUAGCCGAGCUGGUGAGCGGGUGUGGUGGGGGUGGGGAAGGAGGGUAGGGAUGCCGGGGGCCACUCCUGCGUGGUGCGAGUGGGAACGCGCGCGCGCGCCUGGGUGUGUGUUGUUAGCUGAUAUCCAUGGCAGCUGCAGUGGCAGGUGUUCCCUUCUUUUCGCCAGGUUUGCAUCCAAGAGAGGGGAGGACAGGGGCAAAAGGAUGCAGGGAGGCUGCUGAUUUCCACUGAAGAGCUAAUUUCCUGUGAGACAUUAACAGUGAUUUAAGAAAAAGAUUCCUGUAACUGUAAUGUCUUACAAUAACAGAAUGCAGGAGAGCACAUAUCAAUGAAGAAAAGACAAAAUGUACUUAUCCAUGAAGCUGAGGUUAAGAAACCAGUGUCUUCAAGAGCCAGGGACAGCACUGGGUCUGUGCAGAGUUGAGAGAUGGUGAUGACAUGGUGAGACACAAAUUCAGUCUAUUUCAUAGUUUGUGGUCAUUCCUAUUAAUAAACUUCCUUUCACAACUGUUUCAAUAUUCACACAAAAAUGUUAACCCAAUCUGCAGUUGUACCCCUUGAAUGUAAAAUAAAAAACAAAAGCCCACAAAAAUAGGAAUCCACACUUAAAAGGUGGAUUUAUUUAGCACAGUAUGGAGUUUCUUAGACUUCUCUAUCACUGUCUCUAACAAUGACAUACUCACCUAACCCCACUAAGAGCAACUUUAUUUCAUCUCUAGUUUUCGUCUAAAGAUUCAUGUGGAUUUUAGAUUCUACUCUUUUGUAGGUUCGUAUUUGUACUAUUAUAAAAUGUGACUCUCUCUCCAAACUUUGCCUAAAUUAUGGAAUGAUUUUUCAUGUUUAUCCAGUGGUUUCCAGCAUUCUUGGCCCAGUCUGGGAUUCUACUCUUUUGUAGGUUCGUAUUUGUACUAUUAUAAAAUGUGACUCUCUCUCCAAACUUUGCCUAAAUUACGGAAUGAUUUUUCAUGUUUAUGCAGUGGUUUCCAGCAUUCCUCACCCAGUCCAGGGACACUGUGGGUGUGCCCAGCUUAAGUCCAGUAACUGGAAAUACAAGCCCAAGUUCUGGAGAGUUUGAGCUGCAGAGAUAUAUAUGGGAACACUUUGAAUCUUGACUCAUUGGCCAUAACCAGCAGAGUGGAAAAUACAAGAAGAGAAAAAAACAUUGAACUGCGAUUUUAUAACAUCCUUUACUAGGCAGAGAGAAGAGGAAACACCAGGAAAGAAAACUGUAUUACGAUGUGAAAACUUAAUGUUGAGAAAUUCAGGCAUCUUGGGGUUAGUGAGGAGAAGUUUUAGGGGCUUAGAUUCUUCUAAACACAUGUACAGAAAUGCAUAUUUCAUCUGAUAUCAAAUGGCAUUUAUAGUGCUAAUCUUUACCUCAAGACUUCACAUCUUUUGGUGAUUGCAUCUUUUAGGUUUAUAGCAGCUAAGUUUGCAUGAAAACACCAGGGCUGUUUCAUUUCAGUCAAGAAUUAAUGUUCAUUGAUUGUGCUUCUGCAUUUCAUGUAACUAUUGUAGAAUUUGUUUUAGUUUUAUGAGGGAAUAAUUGUUCCAACUUCUAUAUAACUCAGGAAUUUACUCUCAAACAACACUGUCAAUUAGUUACUUAUCUCUCUGGAAAUGAUCUGGGAACAUGGAGAGGAAAGGGAGGAAGGGGCAAAAUCUGACCACUUAAAUCUAAGCAUAUUAGAUCAUUUUAUGCUAGAAAGUCCUGAAUGAUGUGACUUUCGUUCUUGUAAAACACCUCUUUCCAUAGAUUCAUGGCCCAAACAGUAUAUAAAGAGUGGGGAAGGAACUGCAUUUGCAAAUAGUUCAAAUCAUUGCUCCAUCUUAACUACGCAGUUCACAAAGUGUGAAGAAAUGUGAUCAUCUCAAAAAAGAUAAUGGGGAAAAAAUAUGUUUUGUUCUGUGACUUUAAAGUCUUGCAAUAUUUUACAUAAAUGAUAAUGGGUGCUUUAAUAAGAACUCUUGAUACUUUUGUUAUUGUAUUCAAUAUAUGCAUAUAAUACAACAGGAUGAUAUUGUUUUGGAUUUGGAAAUGUAUUCUUUCUUAUGCAAUCUUAUGCAGUCAUACUGCUUGAAUAUCAUUACCUGAAUUUAUCUUUCUUUUUUUUGUUGUUGUUUUACACUCUACUUAUUUGGUGCCUGUCAGUCUUUUGUCGUCAGUUUAUAUUCUACUAAACUCAAAAAGACAAUCUCAUACCUUUUGUAAUUGUAGGCAUUCUUUACUAGAUUUUUAAAUACACUUCAAAAAUUCAAGUACUUUGAUUUCAUGCCAUCAAGUAGCUGAAUCUAUCCCCCCGUCUCUUUUUAAAUUUAAGUGAGUAGUUCAAUUUCUGUCACUUUCUACUUUGUGAAUUCUAAAUCUUUUAAAACCAUCUUGCCAUUUUUCGUGCACUUACCCUUACAGAAAACUCUGUGAAACACUACUUAUCUCUACUUUUAUGUUUUUAACUCCUUUUUUAUAUUACUAUUCCCUCUGCUUUCUAAAUGCACAUAUUAAUUUGUUCUUUUUAUUCUCUGUAGCUCUUCUCAGUGUAUGAAUUCAGUUUCCCAUCAGUCUCCAUACAAUUAAAAAAAAGUUGAGUAUUCUGUUAUUUUAAUAAGAUAUCUAGUGCCCAUAUUCUAAUUCUGCCCCUUAUUUUUAAUAUAAUUUUAUUGUUGAUUUAAAAUGACAACAGUUUCAAUUCCCAGAAAGUGAAAGGAAACAAAGGAAUAAUAUUAUAGGCUUAAUUUUUAUCAGUGAACUUGUAGGUGAAGAAAAGAUUUGGGGAAGGAAAUGAACAUAUUAUAUUGCAAAAUAGUAAGGAACAAUCAGAUGUGUUUUCUAGUCUCUGGAAAAGCAUGUUUCAAGAAAUUCAAUGAAAAGUUCAUCAUGCUUGCUUAGAUUGUUGAGAAGCAAAAACACUGAUGAACAUUUGGAAGCAAUGAGAAUGUAAUUCUAAUCAUACUCUUUUAAUAAUGUUGCAAAACUCUCCAAACACUACUCUGUGUGGAUGUCUUUCAGAAUAUGAUGAAUACUAGUAGUCUUAUUCUGCCCUUUUCUCUCUAUCACAAUAUAUACAUUCUAUAUUGCAUACACAUAUUUUCCAAAUAUUACAUAUAAUUUCAUGUAAUUUAUAGACCUAUUAAGGCCCAACCAUUUUCUUGGAUAGGGGAUUCUUUAGAAGUCCAGCUUAAAUAAAGCCCGUAUAGAAAGUUUUUUUAAAAUUUAUACAUAAUCACCUAAAGUAACCUUAUCUACUGAACUCUUAGUACAUGCUACUGGAACCUUUUAUCAUGUUUCUUCCUGGCUUGCAUUACAACACUGUUGACAUAUCUCAGCCUUACUUCUAGGCUUCUUUGAGAGCAUGACUCAUGUUUGUAUUCCUCACUGAGGUUGAAUGAAUAAGAGAAACUACAGUAGUAGGAAAAAACAGUACAUGUACAUAUCAAUGAAUAUGAAAGGGUCAAAUGGAUCUAUUAUAGUAAGCACAAAAUCAACUGACACCAGCAAAGUAAACCCAAAAUUUUUAAUGGUAUUUUAAUAGAUCAAGAGGAGCAAGCAGAUUUUUGAGACAGUUGUCUCCUACUUUCUCUAUCACAGGGAGUAAUUUUAAAAGAAAAAUGGAGGGUAAGUUUCUUUAAGAGAAAAUUGUAGUUUAAAACAGGUCAUGGGAUAAUUAGAAAUAAUUUAAUUUCUUUAGAGGAUUUUAAUCUUUCAACUGCUUGCAAUUAGAUCCUAAGGCAAUAAAAGAAUAAGGAGAUUUGGAAAACCAUUGUCUGUAAUCUCUGAAGAAAAGUGGACAUUAGGGGAGUCAGUUGAAAAGCAAAGCUAUCACCAUUUUCUAAAGAGGAAAAAGGUGAACCUCACAAACUAUAGACCAAAAAAAUAGGACAUCGAGAGAAAGAAUAUGAAGCUAGCAUAGGUUCACAAAGAAUGAGUCAAAUCAAACAACAUGCAUUUUUUAUUUAUAAAGCAUGACUUGUUCAUUGUCAAUUCAUGUUAGCUUAAUCAUUAGGCAUUAAUGCCAUCACUGCAAUGCAUAUGUCAGCAAUAAAUAAUCAAAGACCAGGCUUCCAUCAUUCUGUUUAAUAUCUUCAAGUAAUGCUUAAGUUUGCAAAUGCUCUUUUAACACAUUCUCCAUAUGCAGCCUGCCCAGCACUGCACACAAUAGACCUGUUACUUCCCCCUCACGAGCACUCCUAAUAUUUCAUGUGCUCAUCCAAUUGACUUCUCCCACUGGUGCCUCAUAUUGAAUUUGUAGAAUCACACCUGCUCCUUUUUCAAAACUCUUCUGAGUUUUUUCUUAAAUAAUUCACUGACCCCAAAGUUGUCAGAUAUUUGAAGACUACUCGCACAAUUUUAAUAUUAUAAAUGUAUAAUGUAAAUGUAAUUAAGAUUUGUAUAAUGUACGAUGUACUUUGGUAAAUAAAAGUAUGCUGUGAAUAAAUACGUAUGAUACAAUUCAAAAUUUUACAUAAAUAUGUGAUAAAAUUUAGCUCAUAUUCUUUUUUUUUUUCUUUGAGACGGAGUCUCACUCUGUUGCACCCAGGCUAGAGUGCAGCAGCAUGAUCUCAGCUCACUGCAACCUCUACCUCCUGGGUUCAAACAAUUCUCCUGCCUCAGCCUCCUGAGUAGCUGGGAUUACAGGUGCCCGCCACCAUGCCCAGCUAAUUUUUUUCUAUUUUUGUUGUUGUUGUUGUUUUUAGUAGAGACGGGGUUUCACCAUGUUGGUCAGGCUGGUCUUGAACUCCUGACCUCAGAUAAUCCACCUGCCUCGGCCUCCCAAAGUUCUGGGAUUACAGACGUGAACCACGGUGCCCGGCCUAGUUCAUGUUCUUUAAGGACAAUUAUGAAUAUUUUUAUGCACUGUUAAUUUUCAUUAAGAUAUUGAUCAAUUAAUAGCUAUAUAUGUUCUAUAAAUUAAUCCUAUCUAGUUUCAAUCUUAAAUUGUUUGCAUAUACCAAUCUAGUUUAUUGUUUGCAUAUAUUUUAUAGUGUAGAGAUUAGGCAUUUUAAUAAAAUUUUAAAAUUUCCAGGACAUACUGUUAAUGACUAUGCUUCCUACUAUAGGCCAUAAUUAAUUUUUUUCUAUUGUCAACAAUAUUUUGGUAGGGAUGAUCAGGAAAUAAGGAAAUGUUUCCUUCAUUUGUUAACAAUAGGUGUUUGGGGAUUUUAAAAUGAAAAUUGAAGAAGUAAAAGACACCAUAUAUUUAGUUUGUUUGAUUUCGUGGCUUCAAGAGUUCAAUAAUUUAUUGAAAUAUUUUACAGACCAAAGAACAACAGAUAUAUUACGUUUAUAAGCCCCCACAUAUUUUAAAGGAUAAUGGUUUAUAUAUGAAAAUUCCCUGAACCUACACUUCAUCAGGAAAAGCUAAAUAAAAGAAGUUUACAUUUCCUAGGACUAAUGGAGAUUUAUUUCCCAGUCCUCUUCUCUGGAGACAAAUGUAGGUCUCUCUUGAAAAGCAGAAAGUUUUGCAUAUGAGGUAUGAUUUAGUGGGCUAGAAACAUCUUUUCCACCCUCCCCAAAAUGUUUCACUAUGUUUUAUCAUACUAUCUGAUAAUUUUGCACUAAAGUUUUCUUUCUGUGUUAAGAAAAUGCAAAUAUCUCUGAAUGGGUCUCUUUGCUUUAGUCAUACUCAUAUGGCUACUACUGAACAAAAUAUGUUCAUUACAGGAUGAAGGGAAUGUUGCCAGCCAGCAAAUCCCUAGAGUUUGCACUACACCAAACGUUGCUUAGCAAUUUCCACGAUUUUCUCAGUCUAAUUUGCAAGAAUCAAGGAGAUGUUUGUGUAUGCUACAUGAAGUUGUAAAAUUGGUAUUUAUUGUAUGUUUCUAUAUCGAAAGCUUUACAAACAAAGGAAAUGGAAAGUUAACAGGUGGAUAUGAUAGUGUGGCACUACUUUAGCUGGAUGGUAAGGGAGAGCUUCUCUUAGGAAGUGUUUUAGGCCAGGACUUGAAUAAUGAACAGUAUCUAGUUGUACAAAAAUCUGGAGGAAAGACUUUUCAGGCCCAGGAGAAAUGAAAAUUCUUUUCAUGCAUACAAGAAUGAAAGUGAAAAUUACCUACUCUAUGUCCUGAAGUGGGAAGUUGGCUUGCCAGAGAGUAGGUAAUUUUCACUUUGAUUCUUUCAUGCCUUCAGUUAUACUACUUCUUAGGUUAGUUCAUAAGGGUUUCCACAAUUUGGUUCCCACUUAAAAUUUAAAACUUCCCUAACCCAUUCCCACCAUAUAUUGUGCUAAUCCAUGCAUAUGUGACUUUGCGUAUGCUGUUUUCAUUGUUUAAUAUUCUUCUCAUGCAUUCGUUCUUUCCUGAUAACGAACUCAUCUUUGAAACUCCCCUUCAAGCAUCCUCUACUUUAGGAGGCCGCUUCUCACUGUCUCCUGCCUACCACCCAUUGAAUUGUUCAAUUUUUAAGCUGCCAUUGUCUUGUGCAGUUGACACAUUUCUUUGCAAUUACUGAUUUACAUGUCUGCUUUUAUCACUGGUGAGGUUCUUUAGGACAGAGACAUUAUUAAUUCAUCUCUGGGCACAUAUGUUCCAACAUAUUAGAAGUACUACAGAGUGCUAUUACUAUGUAGUAUGUAGUAUUAGUAGUAGUUACUCACAAAUCAUUUUUAAAUAAGUGAUUAUAAUAUCUUUUUGUUAUUAUGAUUUAACACAAGAUGGAAUUUAUUUUCAGAAGUUUCCAUGAUAUAUUUGUUCUAUUUAAAAUCCAAUAGCCAUUAGAAUAUUACCAUUAUUUAAUGUAAAACAAUAAAAUAUUAAAUAUGAUCGUUCAUAUUUAAUGCAAACCGAACUCAUGGAAAUAUUGUGUAAAGAUCAAGUAAUUUUUGACAUACAAUUUUAAACUCAACUUUUCAUAUAGCAUACCUUAUGAUAUAUUUUCAGCCUACUUUUAAAUAUGUUGGCAUUGAAAGCCAGUUACUAAUUCGCUGAAUUCAUGAUUUCUUUUUAAGUUAUAGAAGUGGAAUUAUGUUUGAGAUAUUCAUUGCAUUACAUUUACCAGAACUUGAGUUCUUAACAUGGAACCUGAGAGUUUCUCCAAUUCUUAAGUCCCUGGGAGAAAUAGAUUAGCUGGAUGAGGAACUGAGAGGAAAAAUGGUCAGAGAUGUAGCAAGAGUUGGGAAGAAGGAACAAUGAUUUGCUUUCAAGGAGAUUUUUUCAUUGGUCUGUUUUCAGUGACAAACCCACUGCGAUAAUACAUGUAAAGUGAAAACAUUCAGGAAGUUCCCUUAGAAACCUCUUUUCUGGCAGUUCCUAAUUCUACAACAUUGUAUAAGUGAAAUACCAUAGUUACUGUCAUAGUAAAUUGAGCCAAGAGAAACAAGGGAGCAGGAGAAGAAAAGAAUUAAAGAGAGUUUUGUCUUUCAGUCUUCACUCUGUUUCUUCUUGCUUUUACCAGUCAUUCAGGUUUAUAUAAUUUCUUUAGAGAGGCUUCUACUAUGCAGGUCUUCCUUAAAGUCAUUGGUAUUACCUGGCAUGAUAUGUGAGCCUUUAAUAUCAGUCCCUUUAUCUCUUUAUUUUUAAAGUUUAUAUCAGUACAGAGUCCUGGAUUCUUAAUUAAUUUAAUAGGUUAGACUUUAUGCUAAUAUUCUUCAUUUUGAUGCUCAAAUUUUCCAAAAUUUGGCCAGCAGGGUUCCUUAAAGCUGGGUACCUUGCCCUUUCAACAUGUCCCUCUGAUUCUUUAUUUUUAUUUACUUAUUUAUUUAUUUAUUUAUUUAUUUAUUUAUUUAUUUAUUUAGAGACUGAGUCUUGCUCUGUCUCCCAGCCUGGAGUGCAAUGGCACAAUCUUGGCUCACUGCAACCUCUAUCUCCCAGGUUCAAGCAAUUCUCCUCCCUCAGCCUCCCGAGCAACUGGGACUACAGGCAUGUGCAACCAUGCCUGGCUAAUUUUUUUUGUAUUUUUAGUAGAGACAGGCUUUCACCAUGUUGGUCAGGCUGGCCUCGAUCUCCUGACCUCAAAUGAUCCAUCGCCUCGGCCUCCCAAAGUGCUGGGAUUACAGGCGUGAGCUGCCACACCCAGCCGUCCCUCUCAUUCUUUAAGUACUUCCAUGUUUUCUAAGGUACAAGAUGUUCCAUAUUAUUUUGUUAUUUGUCUUCCCCAGCUCUGAAAUCUGCCUUUCCUUCAAGGAGCCUUGGUUCUUUCUAGUGACAAAUUAUAUUUAGAAAGAAGAUCUGGGUAUUUGACUUGUAUAUUGCUAUUAAUUGGCCAUUGUUUCUAGUCUCUUUCAGUAGACAGAGCUAAGAAAUGUAAAAGGAAAUAUUUGAAUGUAUGUAUAUGUGAUAUAUUAAGUACAUUUAAACAUAUUAAAUUCAUGAGUUCAUACUAAUACUUUCAAUAAGCCACAAUUCCCUUUUCAUGUUUUCGAAGGAAAAAUAUCCAUUGUCUAUAUACAGUGGACAUAGAUAGUAAUAAUACUGAUCUUGAAAAGAGCAGUCUUAAAUAGAUCCCAUUAAUAGUUAAAGAUAACAUAUCUUAGAAUUCUAGAUAUUAGAGAGAUUAUCUAGAGCUGUAAUCUAGAUAUUUUAUAGAUCUUUGCUGUGCUGUUUUGAAUUUGUGUUGGAGUAGAACAAUCAGAUGACAAAAGCUCAUCCCACAUGGAAAAAUCAAAGCAUUCAUUACAGAGAGAAUUUUGAAAUAAAUGCAUAUAUAAAAAAUAUAUAUGCAUAUAUAAUGCAUAUGUAUAUGCAUAUAAAAUAUAUAUAUAUAAAAUGAGGGUUAUAAACAAUGAAGGAAAUAGUGAUACUAUCUAUGUGGGAACAAUACUAGUAUCCUCCCUUUGGAUGAAUACAGUAGCUACAGAUGCAAUUCUGGGGACUCUGUUUAGCAAUAGCUUAACUAUUGCUUGGCUACAAGCAUGGAUAACUUGUUCAAAGAUAAUGAGGAGUUGUAAAUAUUUAAAUAAACAGGAUUUGCAACAUAAAAAGCUUUGUGACUAUGUGUCUGAAUUCUUAGAGUUUUCUCCCAGCAAGACCUUGGAUGUGGCAGACUUUUCUGUAAUUGUCCAUCUCGCCCCUAUUUCAUGAAAAGCCAGAGCUUCUCUACUUAGUUUGCUAACCCCAAAUAUAUAAAUUCAAUAGAAGUACUAGCCUGUUUUUACUGGUUUAUUUGCUUUAUCUAAAAAAAACAAGGCAUAGUUUAAAGUCUGUUUUUGAUAGCAUAACAAAACAAAGGUUCUCAUUUUAAUAAUGCAUCACAUAUACACUUGGUAACUAUUGCAUAGUAAUAAUUUAAUAACUUGAGAAAUAUAUUUAUGCAUGUAUGUGUAUAUGUUCAUAUAUAUGUUAUUUUUAAUUCAGAAGUAAAACAAAUAUUGGAAGAGGCCACAGUUAUUAUAAAAAUAAUUUGACCAGUAUUGGACAAUGCAAAUAGCAAUCAUUUAGAAGUUUCU